AGACAGAAGGGCAGGGGAGACACCGUGAUCACAGAGGUGUUUUCCCAGGGCGAGGCUUAUCCAUUGCACUCCAGAUGUGCUGACCCCUGCGAUUUCCCCACAUGUGGGAAACUCGAUGGCAUAAUUAGUGGUGGUGGGGGACUACAUUCACAGUCUUCUCUGA
ensembl:snRNA U1 U1 spliceosomal RNA